rnacentral:lncRNA from 1 species
AGGGAGCUCCCGAUCAUGAUCCAACAGUCCGAGCUUGAUCUGGGUUUUGUUUGAGCCUGUUUAGGAUAUCUAAACCUAAUCUAAUUGGGUUUAAGGUCUUUAAAAGGGCCCUGAUCAAGUGAAACCUGUGUGUGGCUUUUUUGUUCAUGAACAGAGACCCAUGGUGGCUUGGUUUUUCUCACGGAAACCCGUGAGGCCUGUGGACGUUCGAACCC